rnacentral:rRNA from 1 species
CCUACGGGUGGCAGCAGUGAGGAAUAUUGGUCAAUGGGCUUACGCCUGAACCAGCCAAGUCGCGUGAGGGAAGACUGCCCUAUGGGUUGUAAACUUCUUUUAUAAAGGAAUAAAACGAGGCACGUGUGCCUUUUUGUAUGUACUUUAUGAAUAAGGAUCGGCUAACUCCGUGCCAGCAGCCGCGGUAAUACGGAGGAUCCGAGCGUUAUCCGGAUUUAUUGGGUUUAAAGGGAGCGUAGAUGGGUUGUUAAGUCAGUUGUGAAAGUUUGCGGCUCAACCGUAAAAUUGCAAUUGAUACUGGCAGUCUUGAGUACAGUUGAGGUAGGCGGAAUUCGUGGUGUAGCGGUGAAAUGCUUAGAUAUCACGAAGAACCCCGAUUGCGAAGGCAGCUUACUAAACUGUGACUGACAUUGAUGCUCGAAAGUGUGGGUAUCAAACAGGAUUAGAUACCCCAGUAGUC